AUGGCUACAAAAUAAAAGUCAGGGAAGGUCUGCAUUCAGGGAGCAUGAAGACAAAAGGAGAAGUUGAAGUAAGCGCAGAGGGUGGUCAGAAACGCUGGAGGAGAAGCACCCUCACGGAAACCAACAGAGAGCAAGAGUCACAGGACCGCCACCACAGAGAGAGGCGAGGAGCGGCGGUCAGCACGCUCUGAUGAUGUUCCUGAAGGUUGUAAGGACGGAGCCAAAGAGAUGGGUAACGAGGAAGCAGAGUUUCUAUUGGUCAGGAAUCCAGAAGCGGCUUAGCUGGGUGGCUCUGGCUCAAGGUCUCUCGUGAGAGUUCAGCUCUGUUUCUAAGAUUCAUCGAUGUUGUUAUGUUUACAUCUAAUCAACGGCUGCAGACCGCUGCAGAGGCUUCUUUGGUAUACAUCCACCA